UACGAAGGGGGCUAGCGUUGUUCGGAAUCACUGGGCGUAAAGCGCACGUAGGCGGAUUUUUAAGUCAGGGGUGAAAUCCCGGGGCUCAACCUCGGAACUGCCUUUGAUACUGGAGAUCUUGAGUCCGGAAGAGGUAAGUGGAACUGCGAGUGUAGAGGUGAAAUUCGUAGAUAUUCGCAAGAACACCAGUGGCGAAGGCGGCUUACUGGUCCGGAACUGACGCUGAGACGCGAAAGCGUGGGGAGCGAACAGG
rnacentral:rRNA from 1 species